rnacentral:rRNA from 1 species
AAUCAACGCUGGCGGCGUGCCUCAGACAUGCAAGUCGAACGCGAAAGUUUCCUUCGGGAAGCGAGUAGAGUGGCGUCCGGGUGAGUAACACGUAGGUAAUCUACCUUUGGGUGGGGAAUAACAACCGGAAACGGUUGCUAAUACCGCAUAAUGCAGCGGCACCACAUGGUGACAGUUGUUAAAGCGGGGGAUCGCAAGACCUCGCGCCUAAAGAGGAGCCUGCGGCGGAUUAGCUAGUGGUAAGGUAACGGCUUACCAAGGCAACGAUCCGUAGCCGGCCUGAGAGGGCGGUCGGCCACACUGACACUGAAAUACGGGUCAGACUCCUACGGGAGGCAGCAGUCGGGAAUUUUGGGC